GCCGCGAUGAAGCCCAGGCUGCCGAAACCGCCGCCAAGGCCCGUGGAUACCAGUACGCAUACAGGAACGGAUACAGCUGGUACCAGCCCAAGAUUCUGUACGCUUACACCUUCGAGCGGCCCAUCGUUGGCACCAGGGAUCAGGAGGUUGCUCUGCCUGCCAUCAACACCAACAUUCCACAAGCUAACAUUGCCGUGGCUCCAGUUGUUGCGCCUUCUGUCAACGUACCGAUCCCAGCCGUGCCGGUAUGUAGCGGUCCCGGCUGUGGUGGUGGCCGCAUUCGCAGCGUGAGUGGACUUGGCGUGCGGGGACUUGGAAUUCACGGACUCGGUAGGCCUACUCCAUGGGCUGGUGGAGUUUACGGGCAUGGAGGAUACGGACUUGGCAAUGGAAACGGACUUGGCAAUAGAUACUGACAUGGCAAUUGGUAUUUACUUGGAGGUUAUCUAAUCAGGGCGCAGUAUUCGAACCAUGCACAGAUCAACAAGACGAGUGCUAUAGUUGUAAGAUGUAGCGAGAGACUAACAGAGCUUUUAUUAAAUACGGAGGACCUAUAAAUAUCACACUUGUUUUACAGUUUGAUCAGAGUCUGAUUAUCAUAAGAUUUAUCGUUUGUAUCUCUUGUAUUACUUUAUAUGUAUUUUUAUAUGAAAUAUAUUUAUUUAGUUGAAUAGCA